rnacentral:tRNA from 1 species
GUUUAGAUAGCUCAGGUGGUUAGAGCAAAGGACUGAAAAUCCUUGUGUCAGUGGUUCGAAUUCCUCCUCCAGA